rnacentral:lncRNA from 1 species
CGGGGCCCGCGCGCCGCUCCCGGCAGCCGCGGCUCGGCAGCGCGGGAGGGAGCGCCGCCGGCCCGGGGCCCGCUAAGGACUCGGAGCGGACCUCACACUACUUCCAGUCUAGUUCCAGCUCCCGCCACCGGCUCCCACUAGACCAGUUGGUACCCAUUACUCAUGGUCCUGUCGCUACUGCAGCUCCUGACAGUCCCUGUCUGGCUUCCUUCAGAUACUGGAAGGUCGCCAUGAGGUCUUCACACAAACUUCUCCACGCCUGAAGAGCCCCAGCUUUCUCAGCCUGUUGUCAUAGGGCAUUUCAAGACCACCAACAGCAUAGCAACAGACCUUCAGAUCUUGAUGAACGAAGCUUGAGCCCAGACUCAACUUACACCUUUGUUAGGACAUGAGUCUAUAACAACCAACUUACAUCAUGUUGAAGGUAGGUAUUUAAAGGAGGUUUAUUUGGGCUAAUGCUAAAUUCAAACAGCCACAAGCUCAUUUUCCAUGUUUACCACACCAACUGCUGACAGAUGAAGUCUCAGUGGAAAGUCCAAAUUUUAAUUUCACCGUAACUUCCUGAAACAUGACUACAGAUUUCAAUAUUUGGCAUUUGAUCCUCGAGAGAGAUACCAUGUUUAAGAACAUUCUACCAAAUACAUUUAAAUUAUACUCCAAAACAAUUCGGAAGUUUUGAAACAUAAAACUGUUAGUAUGAAAUUAGUUUUUAUUUUUUUACCUCAAAAUAAAUGCACAUUUAUCAUUUAGUCA